GAAAUUUAUUCACUGAUCUGGCCACGCGAUUUAUCUCUUUUCACUGAUCUAGCAGCGCGGUUUAUUUAACUUUAAAUUUCAAUUUGAAAAUAUCCUCAGGUUUGAAUUUUGCAUUGCAGAUUUGAGAAGAUUACAAAGCACCUGGUAAAAUCCAGUCAAUGCGACGAUUUCUGUUUGGAUGUGCACCGAGUGCGGGCUUUCCUCUGCUCCUCCCGUUUUGUGUCGUAAUCCUGGAGCAUUUUUCGCAGAUAGCAUCUGCAAAAGGACUUGGUCAAAUCGUCGAUUCGGGGUGGAAAUGGACAGCAAAUGCGUCCAUUCUUUAUCGGCACGAGUAUCUUCAAGAAAUCCGGCCUGACGGUACACAAGAUCUUCAGAAAGACCAUGUCACUGUUCCCUUGCAGCGGCGGCUUCGUGCCAAAGCGUUUUGUAAUAUUCCGAAAGCACAGCAUCUCGGUGGGUGGAGGUGCUCGAAAGGGGGAAAAACUAAACUGAA
rnacentral:lncRNA from 1 species